rnacentral:rRNA from 1 species
ACGCACGCUGGCGGCGUGCUUAACACAUGCAAGUCGCACGGAAAGGCCCUGCUUUUGUGGGGUGCUCGAGUGGCGAACGGGUGAGUAACACGUGAGUAACCUGCCCUUGACUUUGGGAUAACUUCAGGAAACUGGGGCUAUACCGGAUAGGAGCUCCUGCUGCAUGGUGGGGGUUGGAAAGUUUCGGCGGUUGGGGAUGGACUCGCGGCUUAUCAGCUUGUUGGUGGGGUAGUGGCUUACCAAGGCUUUGACGGGUAGCCGGCCUGAGAGGGUGACCGGCCACAUUGGGACUGAGAUACGGCCCAGACUCCUACGGGAGGCAGCAGUGGGGAAUAUUGCACAAUGGGCGGAAGCCUGAUGCAGCAACGCCGCGUGCGGGAUGACGGCCUUCGGGUUGUAAACCGCUUUCGCCUGUGACGAAGCGUGAGUGACGGUAAUGGGUAAAGAAGCACCGGCUAACUACGUG